AAUAUAACAUACCAAAUUUUGGUAUAAAAAUAAAAAUAAAUAAAAAUAGUGUGAGAAACUAUUUUUAUUGAAUUUAGAGAAGUAAAAAAUAAGUCAGAAGUGACUUGUGCUGAAAUCGGAAUGAAAACAGAAGAUUUAGAAUUUUCUGUUGGAAACGGGACAGAUAAAUUAGCAGAAAAUGUGCAGUGUCAGAAAAUUAUGAAAACUGGAGGAUAAGCCAGAAUCAUUUUUAUGAGGCUAGAUUUAAAGUUUCAUGUCAUUCUGACACCCGAAAGGUGAAAAAUAAAAUCCGACAGCUAUCUGAUAAAGAUUACAGUUCGGUACAGUUUUCGGUGACCAAACGUGGUCGAAACUGAAAUAUUAAAAUUUCUUUGGACUCGUUAAGUAAAACCGAAUACGAUUGUCAAAUUUAAGAUCAAACGGAUGCUUAGGGAGCUCCGGCGAAAGAUAUCAGAUUUCGAGCUGCCUAGAGUGAAUAGUGUUGCAGGGUGUAUUUAUUA
rnacentral:lncRNA from 1 species